CUCAUUCUCCGGGGGGAGUCCGCAGGUAAUUGUCUGAAAUGGAAACAUGACAGGGCCUCGCUAAGUCAAGAGCAUCUUUGCCAGGCUGGGCUCAAAUGCACAAUAUUCCUAUCUCGGCCUCUGAGAGGUGCCAGCCUGCGCCACCACCCCGGGCUAAGACUCCCCACGGAGCAGCUGGGCGCGUCGUGGCUAAGACAGCAAAGAAAGUAGGGAGCAGGAGCCGAGAUUUAGAGGUGAAACCAGGAGUUCGUUUCUACAAGUGCCGCUGGUGAUCUGGAACACCUUACGGAAUGAAGAAGUCUGCAGCAAAGCACCACGGCCGCCCUGCAGGGCCUGCGGGGACACUCUUGGCCCUCCUUGCGUGGACAAGGGCCCCUGCUCUUUGAGCAGUCUACGCAGUAGCAAAGGCGGGGGUCUGAGGCAUGGGUCUCCCGGCCUCCAGCCGUGAGUGCUUAGGAAAUAGUGUCACAUCUCUGAGCCCUGCUAUGGUCAGCCGAGAAGCAGGGGCCGACUCCUGACUACAGGCCUGUCACAGGAGCUGAGCAGCCCUGAAUGUGAAAAAGCUUGCCAUGGCUGGUUUUCCUGAUGUGAGCUUGGCUGUUCUCAUUGUCCAAGGAGCUCCAGUCCUCGCUGUCACUGGGAAUGGCUGCUGUUCUCAUCUGGUCUUCACCUUGAGCAUUGCUUCCUGGCUCCGGUGCAGCUCCCUCAGCCUGGUGGCCCAGGUCCUUCCUGCCAAUGGCACAGACUUUCCAGCUUCCACCACUGGCCUUUGGGCCUUCCCAGUGCAGAUCCUCGAUACAGACUUGCAAGAGACAUUGCCGUGGGCUCCAGGCCUCUGGCUGGACUCACAGAUGACAUUGCCUGGGCUCUAGGCCUUCAGCUGGACUCAUGUGGAUCCAGGCC
rnacentral:lncRNA from 1 species